rnacentral:rRNA from 1 species
GUAGGUGGCAAGCGUUGUCCGGAAUUAUUGGGCGUAAAGCGCGCGCAGGCGGUCCUUAAGUCUGAUGUGAAAGCCCACGGCUCAACCGUGGAGGGUCAUUGGAAACUGGGGGACUUGAGUACAGAAGAGGAAAGCGGAAUUCCAAGUGUAGCGGUGAAAUGCGUAGAGAUUUGGAGGAACACCAGUGGCGAAGGCGGCUUUCUGGUCUGUAACUGACGCUGAGGCGCGAAAGCGUGGGGAGCAAACAGGAUUAGAUACCCUGGUAGUCCACGCCGUAAACGAUGAGUGCUAAGUGUUAGGGGGUUUCCCGCCCCCUUAGUGCUGCAGCUAACGCAUUAAGCACUCCGCCUGGGGAGUACGGCCGCAAGGCUG